GGUUGAUCCAAGAGAAAGCUGAGAGUAGGAUUCUUCACUUCUGUGUGUCAUGGACCCUCCUUCCCCAGUCUGGCCAGUUGGAAGAGAAAGCAAUCUUUGCAACUGCUUGGGCCUCUGAAAAUCUGAGGGCAAAGAUGAAGAAAGUCGCCAGAGCUUCAAGGAACUCCAUUCUCUACACUUUCCAUCUCCCUCAUCACACUCCCAGCACAACCUCUCCUCCAGGUGACAGUUGUCCUUCCUCACCACCCCAACACACACACACACGCACACAAACCCCACAAAAUAAAAUCAAUAGUUAGUGAUAGACGUUUGAAUUUAAAGGGAGAAUUUAUUUUCAAAUACAUUUUUAUUUGUAUCUUUUUUUUUUACAUCACAUUUCCCACUACAUCCCUCCUCCAAACCCCUUCAGAAAGCCAUCCCUCAUAAUAAAGAAGAAAAAAAUAGUUCAUUAACUUAUUGAAACUAUCUGCUAUUACAUGCAGUAUUCCACAUCUGUAGUCUGCCACCUUUUUUAAAGAAGCAGGGAAACAUGUCAACUUAUAUCUUUUUUGGGGGGGCGGUAUAAAACUUUCGUCAUUAUAAUUUCAGUUUUGACUCUUUUGUCUGUAGUUCUUUUCAUUUACACUGUUGUAGUUGUGUAUGUAUAUUGUUUCACUGAUCCUCCUUGUUUCAGUUUGCAUAAGUUCAUAUAGGUCUUCUCAUACUUCUCUGUAUCAUUUGUAUUUAUUGUUUCUUAUAGCACAGUAACAUUUCAUUACAUUAAUGUGGGAGGAUUUGCUUAGCCAUUCCUUAAUUAAUGGGUAUCCACUUUGACUCUCACUCUUCGCUACUAAAAAAAAAAGUGCCAGUAUAAAUGGCUAAAUACGCUUUGUGUAUAUAGAUGUUCUAUUUUUGUCUUUUUAUAUCUCAUUGGGGUAUAAGUCUAGCAACGGAGUCUCAGGGUAAAAUGGUAUGGACAUUUUAGUCAUUCUCUUCACGUAGUUCCAAAUUGCUUUCCAGAAUGUUUGGUCUAAUUCACAGGUCUACCAACAAUGUAUUUGUACACCUUUCUUUCCACAACCCAACAUUAAUUAUCUGCCAUAUUUUGUCAUCCUUGGCAAUUUUCUGACUGUGGAAUAAAACUUCCGAGUUGUUUUGAUGUACAUUUAUAGAUGUAAUUUAGGGUAAUUUAGAGCCUUUUUUUCAUUUGGUUGCAAUUCUUCUUUGGAGAACUGUUUAUUCAUAUCCUUUAAUCAGUUAUCUUUGGAGAACUGUUUAUUCAUAUCAUUUAAUCAGUUAUCUGUUGAAGAAUGACUGUCGGUCUUAUAUGGUGCUGUUGGUUAUCUAUAGAUUUGGGAUCACAUCUUUAUCAUAUCUAUUUUAUACAAAUAUUUCCCCAGUUGAAUGUUUUCCUUCUUACCUAAGUUACACUAAUUUUGUUCAUACAAAGGAUUUUCAGUUUCAUAUCAUCAAAAUUAUUUACUUUAUACUUUAGAAUCACCUAUACACUUGUUGCUUGGAUAAUAAGCACUGGAAAACACCAUAGAAGAGAGAUAACCUCAGCCGGUCCAGAAUAGGGUAUGAGACCAGAAAGGGAAUUACGCUAUGUACCUACAUGUCCAGACUAUGCUAUACAGGGAAGGAAGAUAGUUCAAGGAACAGGAAAAUUCAUACUGAUCCCAGACCAGAACAGCUGGGGAGAAAAGAGACAGGAAAUCCCAAGGCAAAUACAGUGGUAUGCUUAUGCUACCUUAAGCACAUCAAUCUGUGUUAGUGGUCAGUGAUCAAGUGCUUUAAUGCUUGAAUGAAUUUUAUAGUCAGAAGUUGAGUGUGACAAUUUUCAAGUCAAGUAGAAGAUCAGUAUGGGUCUUCAUGGGAACUAAUGGAUAGUGCCAUCAGGAAGCCAACAAUCUCCCAAGGCUCCCCUGUAAAACACUGGGUUGAGGCAUGUAGAGCCAUGCAAGUCUUUUAACUUAUUGUAAAGGGAUGCUUGUGGUUUUCUCUAUUCUCUUUGUUCUUUUUCUUUUUCCUCUUUUUUGUUGCCUCAUGGGCCAGUCAGGUGGUCCAGGCAGGGCAGAGUGGAUCAUCGACCUCUAAGAGAG